GUCUGCACUUAUAUCUGCUCCCCAACCCCUCCCCACCUCGGCAGCUGUGUACACAUGGCUUUCAGAGUCUGAUUCGAGCCCCGUCGCAUUUCCAGACUCUCCUGUACUUUGCUUCAUAUUAUCUGUUCUCCAUUCUAAGCCCCCUCAUCCCCAUAACUUUCACUGUAUAUGUGUCAUUCUUCUUCUGGCCAUGUGACCCUGCCUUCGUGUCAUUAUGCCCCCAGAUCAUGAGUCCCCUCAACAGUAACUGUGUCUGGUAUAUCUUUUUUUUUUUGUCAAUAUCUGCAUAGUACUGGUGCACAGGUAUUAAGUUCUGUGGAAUUGAAUGAGAUGUAGGAACUUGAUAAUGUGACAAAACAAUGUCUGUAAUACGUUUUCUUUAUUAUUCUUUUAAAGAGUCUCAGGUCAUCUGUCAGUUAAGGAAUUCGGGCAGUAGAUGAACGAAUGUGUAAACAAGAGGACAUAAGGAAGAAAAAGAUGUGUGUGUUGAGGCUUAUACAAGUUAUUUGAUCAGUUGAAAAGAUUGAAAAAAUCUUAAAUUCACAAAGUUCUAAAGAAACCUCUGCACUAGAAGCAAGCAGCCCGUAGCACUCGUGCUUCUGCCCCCGUUCGUCCACACUUAGCAGACAGUCUGUACGCGGCCCUUCUGCAGCCUGUGUGUCUCCCGCGGCUCUGCUUCGCUGCGGCCCUUGGCAGCGCCUGCAGCCCCUCCAGCCAUGUCCACGUUCGGCCCCUGGGGAGCUGGCCCUCCAGUGUUCUUCCCGUCUUUGCUGUUGCUGCUGUGCUCCUCGGAUAGAAACACCUCGCCCUCUCUGGACUAGAGAGAUUUUGGAGAGAAUUGCCACAGAAUUUAACCAGUUACAGUUUCAUGCUGUUCAGAGCAAAGGCCUGCCUCUUCUGGACAAAGUAAGACCAGUAAGUGUUGGUUUCGAUUUUCAAUUUGCUGUUUGCGAAUUUCCUGGAUGAUUUUGGUUUGACCUAGCAUUGCCCCCUGAUAAUUGCUACUCUACAGGAUUUUGAA